GGUAAUUCCAGCUCCAAUAGCGUAUAUUAAAGUUGUUGUGGUUAAAAAGCUCGUAGUUGAACCUUGGGCCUGGCUGGCCGGUCCGCCUCACCGCGUGUACUGGUCCGGCCGGGCCUUUCCCUCUGUGGAACCCCAUGCCCUUCACUGGGCGUGGCGGGGAAACAGGACUUUUACUUUGAAAAAAUUAGAGUGCUCCAGGCAGGCCUAUGCUCGAAUACAUUAGCAUGGAAUAAUGAAAUAGGACGCGCGGUUCUAUUUUGUUGGUUUCUAGGACCGCCGUAAUGAUUAAUAGGGACAGUCGGGGGCAUCAGUAUUCAAUGGUCAGAGGUGAAAUUCUUGGAUCCAUUGAAGACUAACUACUGCGAAAGCAUUUGUCAAGGAUGUUUUCAUUAAUCAGGAACGAAAGUUAGGGGAUCGAAGACGAUCAGAUACCGUCGUAGUCUUAACCAUAAACUAUGCCGACUAGGGAUCGGACGAUGUUAUUUUUUGACUCGUUCGGCACCUUACGAGAAAUCAAAGUGCUUGGGCUCCAGGGGGAGUAUGGUCGCAGGCUGAACUUAAGGAA
rnacentral:rRNA from 1 species